CUCCAACGCCAACGUGCUGCUUCAGCAUCAGCCUGUGGAGGGAAGAAGUGAGUGGAGCAUCAUCUCAACGACUGUUUUCUUCCAAAAGUGGUAAACAUGUCCAAAGUGAUGACCCUGGUCCUGUGUGUGCUGCUUUUAGCUGCAGUGACACCCACCUCAGAAGGCCGCCCUGGGCAUCCAGGUUACCUUACAAAAGGUUCACAUCCUGCCAAGCUCAAUGAUGGCAACUACAAGGGCACCUUUUUGCGACCCGAUGACGAUGACGACAAUGACGACAUGUUUCGUAUAAUGAGACGCUAGUAAUAUAAUCAUCAUAAUUAUUAUAAUGAUGAUGUGGAAAAAUCCAAAGUUCCAAAUAAAGUCUAGCAAAGCA